UGUUGAUAAUCCUUACAACUGCAGGUCUCAUCAGAGUGCGUCUAAGAAGAAACCUGACAUAUUUGUGUAGAAAAGUGUUUGGGUGGAGAGACAUAGAUUGAGAGAGAGACAGG